UACGAAGGGGGCUAGCGUUGUUCGGAAUUACUGGGCGUAAAGCGCACGUAGGCGGCUUUGUAAGUUAGAGGUGAAAGCCUGGAGCUCAACUCCAGAACUGCCUUUAAGACUGCAUCGCUUGAAUCCAGGAGAGGUGAGUGGAAUUCCGAGUGUAGAGGUGAAAUUCGUAGAUAUUCGGAAGAACACCAGUGGCGAAGGCGGCUCACUGGACUGGUAUUGACGCUGAGGUGCGAAAAGCGUGGGGAGCAAACAGG
rnacentral:rRNA from 1 species